UACGAAGGGGGCUAGCGUUGCUCGGAAUCACUGGGCGUAAAGCGCACGUAGGCGGAUUGCUAAGUCAGGGGUGAAAUCCUGGAGCUCAACUCCAGGACUGCCUUUGAUACUGGCGAUCUUGAGUCCGGGAGAGGUGAGUGGAACUGCGAGUGUAGAGGUGAAAUUCGUAGAUAUUCGCAAGAACACCAGUGGCGAAGGCGGCUCACUGGCCCGGUACUGACGCUGAGGUGCGAAAGCGUGGGGAGCAAACAGG
rnacentral:rRNA from 1 species